GAUGAACGCUGGCGGCGUGCCUAAUACAUGCAAGUCGAGCGAACGGACGAGAAGCUUGCUUCUCUGAUGUUAGCGGCGGACGGGUGAGUAACACGUGGAUAACCUACCUAUAAGACUGGGAUAACUUCGGGAAACCGGAGCUAAUACCGGAUAAUAUUUUGAACCGCAUGGUUCAAAAGUGAAAGACGGUCUUGCUGUCACUUAUAGAUGGAUCCGCGCUGCAUUAGCUAGUUGGUAAGGUAACGGCUUACCAAGGCAACGAUGCAUAGCCGACCUGAGAGGGUGACCGGCCACACUGGAACUGAGACACGGUCCAGACUCCUACGGGAGGCAGCAGUAGGGAAUCUUCCGCAAUGGGCGAAAGCCUGACGGAGCAACGCCGCGUGAGUGAUGAAGGUCUUCGGAUCGUAAAACUCUGUUAUUAGGGAAGAACAUAUGUGUAAGUAACUGUGCACAUCUUGACGGUACCUAAUCAGAAAGCCACGGCUAACUACGUGCCAGCAGCCGCGGUAAUACGUAGGUGGCAAGCGUUAUCCGAAAUUAUUGGGCGUAAAGCGCGCGUAGGCGGUUUUUUAAGUCUGAUGUGAAAGCCCACGGCUCAACCGUGGAGGGUCAUUGGAAACUGGAAAACUUGAGUGCAGAAGAGGAAAGUGGAAUUCCAUGUGUAGCGGUGAAAUGCGCAGAGAUAUGGAGGAACACCAGUGGCGAAGGCGACUUUCUGGUCUGUAACUGACGCUGAUGUGCGAAAGCGUGGGGAUCAAACAGGAUUAGAUACCCUGGUAGUCCACGCCGUAAACGAUGAGUGCUAAGUGUUAGGGGGUUUCCGCCCCUUAGUGCUGCAGCUAACGCAUUAAGCACUCCGCCUGGGGAGUACGACCGCAAGGUUGAAACUCAAAGGAAUUGACGGGGACCCGCACAAGCGGUGGAGCAUGUGGUUUAAUUCGAAGCAACGCGAAGAACCUUACCAAAUCUUGACAUCCUUUGACAACUCUAGAGAUAGAGCUUUCCCCUUCGGGGGACAAAGUGACAGGUGGUGCAUGGUUGUCGUCAGCUCGUGUCGUGAGAUGUUGGGUUAAGUCCCGCAACGAGCGCAACCCUUAAGCUUAGUUGCCAUCAUUAAGUUGGGCACUCUAAGUUGACUGCCGGUGACAAACCGGAGGAAGGUGGGGAUGACGUCAAAUCAUCAUGCCCCUUAUGAUUUGGGCUACACACGUGCUACAAUGGACAAUACAAAGGGCAGCGAAACCGCGAGGUCAAGCAAAUCCCAUAAAGUUGUUCUCAGUUCGGAUUGUAGUCUGCAACUCGACUACAUGAAGCUGGAAUCGCUAGUAAUCGUAGAUCAGCAUGCUACGGUGAAUACGUUCCCGGGUCU
rnacentral:rRNA from 1 species